GAUGAACGCUGGCGGCGUGCCUAAUACAUGCAAGUCGAGCGAAUGGAUUAAGAGCUUGCUCUUAUGAAGUUAGCGGCGGACGGGUGAGUAACACGUGGGUAACCUGCCCAUAAGGCUGGGAUAACUCCGGGAAACCGGGGCUAAUACCGGAUAACAUUUUGAACCGCAUGGUUCGAAAUUGAAAGGCGGCUUCGGCUGUCACUUAUGGAUGGAGCCGCGUCGCAUUAGCUAGUUGGUGAGGUAACGGCUCACCAAGGCAACGAUGCGUAGCCGACCUGAGAGGGUGAUCGGCCACACUGGGACUGAGACACGGCCCAGACUCCUACGGGAGGCAGCAGUAGGGAAUCUUCCGCAAUGGGCGAAAGUCUGACGGAGCAACGCCGCGUGAGUGAUGAAGGCUUUCGGGUCGUAAAACUCUGUUGUUAGGGAAGAACAAGUGCUAGUUGAAUAAGCUGGCACCUUGACGGUACCUAACCAGAAAGCCACGGCUAACUACGUGCCAGCAGCCGCGGUAA
rnacentral:rRNA from 1 species